CCGCAAGGGAGCGGCAGACGGGUGAGUAACACGUGGGGACGUACCUUUUGGUUCGGAAUAACUCAGGGAAACUUGAGCUAAUACCGGAUACGCCCGUAAGGGGAAAGAUUUAUUGCCGAAAGAUCGGCCCGCGUCUGAUUAGCUAGUUGGUGAGGUAACGGCUCACCAAGGGGAAGAUCAGUAGCUGGUCUGAGAGGAUGACCAGCCACACUUUUCUCCUCACACGGCCGAANCUCCUACGGUAGGUCGNAGUGGGUGA
rnacentral:misc_RNA from 1 species